rnacentral:lncRNA from 1 species
AGAUGGCGCCGGCAGUAAGUCUCCUGUGAGCCUCAACAGAGUGAGUAGGAGCUUUUACAGAAUAAUUACAAUAAUACAGAAAGACAUUCAGAAAAAAUCAAAGUUUUAGCCUGAUAAAAGAAUCCGGGAGUUACCAGGAGGUAUUUCUUAAAUCCUCCCCUUUCCUCCCCUAUUCGAGGCUAAUUACAACCUUUGAGCUCCUGUUGAAUAAGGCCCUAGCACACGGCUAGAGAAGAUAACUUAAAUGGUUCUUACAAGACAGAAUUAUAAAGAACUGGGGAUCCCUCUAGCUCAAGCACAAGCUGUUGAACCCCCUGCCCCAAAGAAAAAGCAGGCAAAAAUUCCAUAUUAUUUUAAACCAAAAGCAGAGGAAGUGAAAAGAAAUAAAAACAUAGAGAGCCUGCAUCCGCACGAAUGGUCUGUCGACCGUAUCUCGUUCAGAAGGGGCAUGGAAGCAGAGGGAGGAGGAGGAAAAGGAGUUGACCUGGCAACCGAGUUGGCACAGGCAACUACAGAAAGUACAGCCCUUGAGGCCCGACCAGAACAGGAGCCUCAGCUGGGAGACCCAGAAACCAAGUCAAAAGAAUCCACCCAUCAACCUAUGCUUAGAGGAAAGGGGGGGUCCCCUGCCCCGACAGAGGUGGAGGAGUGGCUAAACGACACAAGAGCUCGACAUCCAGACCUGGGCAGCUAUAAUUACAUAAUGACAGGGCUGUACAAAGAUCUGUUGGAAGAACAUCAAACUCAGCUAAUUAAAGAACUGGGGCCUAUUAAAAACUUUCUUUCAGAAUGUUUGGGUUUGCUCACCUCCCUGAUUGAACUAAUCAGGAGGAAAGAGGAUUGCCACUUUCACAAAGAAGCCAUCAACAAGCCAAAUGGAAAUAAAACCCAGUCCAACACCAAAGAAAGGAAAACAAGCAGAGCCAAACUAGCCCAAGGAAAAGUACUGGCCACUAGGAAACCUUCCUUAAAGGGAAAGAGCCCAAUGCAUAAGAAGAAGCCGAAGAAUGUGAAAAUGGGUCGAAAGGCUAAGCUGCCCUCUCGGACUGGGAAAGUGAAUUUCUCAAAGUUAUUCAAGAUUCUGGAGAACUCAAGCACAAAGAACUCCAACAAAACAACGCCAAAUAAGAGCCAAAGCCCAAACAUUUUAAAUAUACAUCAGGUGGCUAGCCCUCCAAGGCUAGCAAAACAAUCGCUGCCCUCUAGUGGAAAAUUAAAGGAAACUCCAGAUCCAAAGCAAGAAACUCCCCAGAAGGGAGUACAAAAGAGCCAGAACUUAAUUUUAAUUAAACAUAAAUUAGUCCUCCUCCCUCUCUUCAAGCAUGGAGGCCUUUCCACGCUUGCACAACAGAGAAUUUAUUUACUUAAGAAAAUUGACUUAGUCAUCAGAGGCCUUAUACCAGCAGGAAAUAUUGUCAGCGUUAAAUUUCUUCCUUUUGAUAUGGCCCAAAACAGAGUUGUGGUGACCUUUAAGGACUGGUCGGUAACUAAACAAAUCAUGGACAAGAGGGACAGGCUCCAGAGGGCUGGCCUGUUGGUGACCCGCCUUUUUGAAGAGUCCGGCGUUCCACCAUCCCUCUUAGGAACACGUAAGCCGACUAGUCUGCGCACAGAAUUGGAAAUGGCUUCUGAAAACUGCAAACAAGGUCAACCGGAGGCAGUCAAAAUUUCCAAACAGAAGGCUAAGCUCCAAAAACUUUACUCCCUUCCAAUGAACCC